CGGAGGGUGCGAGCGUUGUCCGGAAUCACUGGGCGUAAAGGGCGCGUAGGCGGCCCACGGUAGUCUGUGGUGAAAGCCCGAGGCUCAACCUCGGGUCGGCCACGGAUACUCCGGGGCUCGAGUCUGGUAGAGGCUCAUGGAAUUCCGGGUGUAGCGGUGGAAUGCGUAGAGAUCCGGAAGAACACCGGUGGCGAAGGCGGUGAGCUGGGCCAGUACUGACGCUGAUGCGCGACAGCGUGGGGAGCAAACAGGAUUAGAUACCCUGGUAGUCCACGCCGUAAACGAUGGGCACUAGGUGCUUGGGGGAGCGACCCCCUGAGUGCCGGCGCUAACGCAUUAAGUGCCCCGCCUGGGGAGUACGGCCGCAAGGCUG
rnacentral:rRNA from 1 species